rnacentral:rRNA from 1 species
CAUUGGCUCAANCAAUGUAUGCUUUGGAAACUGUUAGACUUGAGUGCAGAAGGGGAGAGUGGAAUUCCAUGUGUAGCGGUGAAAUGCGUAGAUAUAUGGAGGAACACCGGUGGCGAAAGCGGCUCUCUGGUCUGUCACUGACGCUGAGGCUCGAAAGCGUGGGUAGCGAACAGGAUUAGAUACCCUGGUAGUCCACGCCGUAAACGCUGAGUGCUAGGUGUUAGGUCCUUUCCGGGACUUAGUGCCGACGCUAACGCAUUAAGCACUCCGCCUGGGGAGUACGACCGCAAGGUUGAAACUCAAAGGAAUUGACGGGGGCCCGCACAAGCGGUGGAGCAUGUGGUUUAAUCCGAAGCAACGCGAAGAACCUUACCAGGUCUUGACAUCCCGAUGCCCGCUCUAGAGAUAGAGUUUUUCUUCGGAACAUCGGAGACAGGUGGUGCAUGGUUGUCGUCAGCUCGUGUCGUGAGAUGUUGGGUUAAGUCCCGCAACGAGCGCAACCCUUAUUGUUAGUUGCCAUCAUUAAGUUGGGCACUCUAGCGAGACUGCCGGUAAUAAACCGGAGGAAGGUGGGGAUGACGUCAAAUCAUCAUGCCCCUUAUGACCUGGGCUACACACGUGCUACAAUGGUUGGUACAACGAGUCGCAAGCCGGUGACGGCAAGCUAAUCUCUGAAAGCCAAUCUCAGUUCGGAUUGUAGGCUGCAACUCGCCUACAUGAAGUCGGAAUCGCUAGUAAUCGCGGAUCAGCACGCCGCGGUGAAUACGUUCCCGGGCCUUGUACACACCGCCCGUCACACCACGAGAGUUUGUAACACCCAAAG